rnacentral:rRNA from 1 species
UAAGUUCUCUGUAGCGCAGCUAACGCAUUAAGCACUCCGCCUGGGGAGUACGACCGCAAGGUUGAAACUCAAAGGAAUUGACGGGGGCCCGCACAAGCGGUGGAGCAUGUGGUUUAAUUCGAAGCAACGCGAAGAACCUUACCAGGUCUUGACAUACUCGUGCUAUCCUUAGAGAUAAGGAGUUCCUUCGGGACACGGGAUACAGGUGGUGCAUGGUUGUCGUCAGCUCGUGUCGUGAGAUGUUGGGUUAAGUCCCGCAACGAGCGCAACCCUUAUUACUAGUUGCCAUCAUUAAGUUGGGCACUCUAGUGAGACUGCCGGUGAUAAACCGGAGGAAGGUGGGGAUGACGUCAAAUCAUCAUGCCCCUUAUGACCUGGGCUACACACGUGCUACAAUGGAUGGUACAACGAGUCGCCAACCCGCGAGGGUGCGCUAAUCUCUUAAAACCAUUCUCAGUUCGGAUUGCAGGCUGCAACUCGCCUGCAGAAGUCGAAUCGGUAGAAUC